GCGUUGGGUUACAACGAAGAAAUGACAAGAAAAUCGGGUAUAUGUACUAAUGGAACCUGCAUAUUAACUGAAAUUCAACACGGAUGCUCCGAUGAAAAACCGGGAACAAUGGUAGACGGGAUGCCUCAAGUUGGUUGUGCUUAUACCUGUUUCGUGAAUGGAACCAAGAGGAUGUAUGGGUAUUAUGCGGUUGGAACUAAUUGCACCCAUAUGGGCGAUAAAGGACAAAAUCGCACCGUUGCAACAUGCAAGAAACACGGAACAAAAGUUGUGUGCCGCGAAGCAGUACCUGCUGUACUGGACUGCUAAUAG